CUCUGGCUGCACUGGGAGAGCAUGGCAGAGUUUCUUGGGUAGCUGAUCAAGGACCCCCUGCCCUGGAACUGUCCCCAUGACUCCCUGUCCUGGUUCCCCACGUCACCUGUCCACGAUCCGCCUCUCCCUGCUGUCACUCCCCUUGCUCCCCACCCGUUCCCAUGUCACGGCACUUCUUGUCUCGUUCAGCUCCCAUCCCAGUCUGGAUCCCGUUCCCAGUCUCAUUCCCCGUCCCGGUCCACUAUUUGUCUGGUUGCCGUUCCCAUAUUCCCAGGCCCAUAUUCCGGGUCCCACUACCGAUUGUGCGUCCGUUCCCAUAUUUCCCUUUCUAUGUUCCCAGUCCCAUUCCUGUAUUCCCGUUUGCGAUCCUGGUCUCAUCUUCCUAAUCCCCAUCUCAUAUUCUCUCUCCAGUUGCGGUUUCCAUAUUCCCUGUUCUGGUCCCAUAUUCCCAUUCCCGCUCCCUGUCGCCAUUCCCGCUCCCUGUCCCCUCUCACCGCACGCCGCCGCCAUCGCUCCGGCCCUCACGUGACCGAGGAAACGCCGCGCUGCUCCCGCCCACCAAUCCCAGUGCGCGAUCUCUCCUGUAUUUGCGUAACCACGCCCUUCGGUUUGGCCCCGCCCACCGCCGCCUGAAGCCGCCUCCAGGCGCUGUUUCCUUCCAGUUCCCUCCCAGUGCUCCCAAUAAAAGCGGGACUGGCAGGGAAAGCGCUCCCAAUUCCUUCCCGCUGCUCUCAGGAUUCCACCCACUGUUCCCAGUAUCACUCCAGUGGGCCGGGCCCCCUUUAGGAAGCCCCCUAGGGCAGAGCGCGGCUGCAUUAUAUGUUGGCCAGUGCCCGAGCCGGGCUGGGAGCGGAGGAGGAGCGGGAGGAAGAGGAGGGACAGAGGAGGAGGAGGAAGAGCAGGAACAGGGGGAAUACGAGCAGCAGCAGCAGAACCAAGCGGUUACCCUGCCCGCCCGUUCAGGCCGCUGCUUCCCCUGUCCCGCCGGCAUCGCCCCCCUCCGGAACCCACAGGAUUUCCGAUUCCCAAGCCUUGGUCCAAUGCAGGAGAAGGAGUAGGCUGCAAGGAAGAGGAAGAUGUCCCGGGAGCCCCAGGGAGACCAGGAGCUGAGGCUGGAGACCAGGGAGGACAAAUCCCCACAGCAGAACCCCAUGGAAGAGGCUGUUUUGAGCAGCUCCACAGCACAGGAACCCAACGGGAGGGAAAAGUCCUGGGGAAACCGUACGAGGAGGGGUUGCAAACGUAGAUCACGGGGAUCGGCGGAGGAAAGACCCACCCUGGUCUGGGGAGGCAGCCAGAGCUCGGAGCUGGGGGUCCAUGAGCAGGUUCAGGAUGGGGAGAAGCCCCACAACCGCUCAGAAUGCGGGAAGAGCUUCAGCAAGAGAUCCUACCUGAUCCGCCAUUGGAGAAUCCACACUGGGGAACGGCCAUACGAGUGUGGGGAGUGUGGAAAAAGCUUCUUCGAGCACUGCCUGCUGAUUGUCCACCAGAGGAGCCACACCGGGGAGAAGCCUUACAAAUGUGAUAAAUGCAGGAAGAGAUUUCAGAUCAGCUCCACUCUCGUCAGGCAUCAGAGGAUUCACACACAUGAGAGGCCCUUUCUCUGCCCCGACUGCGGGAAAAGAUUUAACCGUAAUUGCACCCUCAUCAAGCACCGGCGCAUCCACACCAGGGAGAGGCCCUACAAGCGUCCUGAGUGUGAGGAGAGCUUCUCCCAGAGCUCUCGCUUGACCAAACACCAAUGAAGCCAGCACUAAGGGCAGCCCUGCGAGUGCCCUGAGGGCAGGAAGAGCUUCCUGUGCUGCUCCAGCUCCAUCCCUCACUGUAGGAUCCGUGCUGGAUGAUCCCCAGUGAGCCAUUGUGGGCAGAGCCCUGGUGAUCUGUGGCGCCGGUGAUCCGUGUUGGGAAGACACCUGCCUGGGGGGCUCCACAUCCUCCUGGCUCCCCAUGGGCACCUGCACACAUCCACAGCCCAACAUCAGAAAUCCAUUGUGGAGAGUAGAUUGGUCAACUUCUGACUGCAGAAAAAUCUCACGUUUUUCAUCAUCUCAGUGGCAUUGAGCAAUACUGGAUAGCCUUGCAGGUCUUCUCCUACAUAAAUCCAGUGUUUUAGUUCUCCAUGGCCCAUGGCUGUCUUUCACAGCCAAAUGAGGACAGACUGGGGCAAAACCCCUGAUUUUGGAGACAGUGGGAUGGAAACCCCUCCAAAAAAUGUUCUUUCCACCCACCCAAGCACAUGGAUGCUCUGCUGGCCGGGACAUGUCAGCCUCUCAUAGGCAUCAGUUCUGGCACCCCAUGAAGGGACAGAAGGCAUCAGGAAAACCUCCUGGACCAGAGGAAGACCUAGCUGCUCCCCCCCACUCUUGCCAGCACUCCCAGGGUGCCCCAGCUGCAGUAGUGAAGGUAUCAGAGCCUGAGAAUCCUUGGGCCUGGCACGGAGGCAUGUGAGUAACUCAAUAAAGGAGGUAUUCUGUUUUAGCACCUGUGUUAGCUGUUAGGAGAUCUCUUGUAGUUUUGUUUAGUGUGGAAGGACCCUAGGGGGUCCAGGUGGAGUUGCUUUAUGUUCACUCUCUGUCUCACCCACUAGAGUGAGAGAGGAGACUCUCUGGAAAAGUGAGCCUUUAGCACUACAGUGGGAAGUAUUGGCCUGAGGCCUGGGCAGGUGCCAUAGGUUAGCUCCUGCGCUAUGGUUCCAAAGGUUGUGAGCUCUAAUCCUGCAUCUUACUUGUUCUUGCUUGCUCUUUCUCUCUACCUCUUGCUGGUUCUUUUGAUCUCUGCAGACUCUCCUACUCACUAAUGUUAAGAUGGGGUUUGUAUUCUCCUGUGAUUGUAAUAGUAAUAUAUCGAGAAGUAGUCCUCUGGGGUUAAUAUUGAAAAACUGGCACGAACUAACAGAUCAUUGCUUUUUAAACCCAGACUUAUCAGGCUCUCAGAAAAGAUGUGUCCAACAUAUGAACUAGACAACGAGAUUAAGAAAUUAAUAUCAAGUUUAAUAUCCCACAUAUGGGAGGACAAAUAUUUUGACAAGUUAGAAUAUGCUAGGCUUUUUAUGGUAUUAGCAUGUCAGCAAAGCCCAUCAGCAAACAAAAAGGAACAGCAUAUAUUGGUUUUAAAUAAAAAAGACGGGAAAAGUAAAAAGGAGCAGUUGAUAUUGAGCAGUGGAUGUAAAAAUAAGGAGAAGGUGGAGUUAGACCUCAUCACCCCUGAUCUGAGGGUGGGGCCCAGAGCCCCUCCACCCCCGCCUGUGCUGUCGGUGCUGUGAAAAAUGCCAAUCACUUGUUUUUAAAAUUUUAAAAGUUUAAUAGUAAUAAAAUGGUUAUAAAAAUAGUAAUACAAUUAGAGUAAUAAUAAUUUGGACAACUUGAAUUAGGACAAUAUAAGACAAUAAAUAUAAAAAGUUACGGACGUCCGGGUACCUUUUUCGGGCAGCAUGAGCCCGAAAAAGGACACAGAUUAACAGAGGAUUAACCCUUAAAAGCAAUAGCCUGUUGCAUAUUCAUACACUUUAUACAUGAUGCAUAAAUUCUAUUCAAACACAGGAUUCUGUCUGGUCAUUGUCAACUUCUUCCUUCUAAU